UGCAAGUCGAGCGCGGGAAGCAGGCAGAUCCUCUUCGGAGGUGACGCCUGUGGAACGAGCGGCGGACGGGUGAGUAACACGUGGGCAACCUGCCUGUAAGAUUGGGAUAACCCCGGGAAACCGGGGCUAAUACCGGAUAAUACUUUUCGUUGCAUAACGAGAAGUUGAAAGGCGGCUUUUAGCUGUCACUUACAGAUGGGCCCGCGGCGCAUUAGCUAGUUGGUAAGGUAACGGCUUACCAAGGCGACGAUGCGUAGCCAACCUGAGAGGGUGAUCGGCCACACUGGGACUGAGACACGGCCCAGACUCCUACGGGAGGCAGCAGUAGGGAAUCUUCCGCAAUGGACGAAAGUCUGACGGAGCAACGCCGCGUGAGUGAUGAAGGUUUUCGGAUCGUAAAACUCUGUUGUCAGGGAAGAACAAGUGCCGUUCAAAUAGGGCGGCACCUUGACGGUACCUGACCAGAAAGCCCCGGCUAACUACGUGCCAGCAGCCGCGGUAAUACGUAGGGGGCAAGCGUUGUCCGGAAUUAUUGGGCGUAAAGCGCGCGCAGGCGGUCCUUUAAGUCUGAUGUGAAAGCCCACGGCUUAACCGUGGAGGGCCAUUGGAAACUGGAGGACUUGAGUACAGAAAAGGAGAGUGGAAUUCCACGUGUAGCGGUGAAAUGCGUAGAGAUGUGGAGGAACACCAGUGGCGAAGGCGACUCUCUGGUCUGUAACUGACGCUAAGGUGCGAAAGCGUGGGGAGCGAACAGGAUUAAAUACCCUGGUAGUCCACGCCGUAAACGAUAAGUGCUAGGUGUUAGGGGGUUUCCGCCCCUUANUGCUGAAGUUAACGCAUUAAGCACUCCNCCUGGGGAGUACGGCCGCAAGGCUGAAACUCAAAAGAAUUGACGGGGGCCCGCACAAGCGGUGGAGCAUGUGGUUUAAUUCNAANCAACGCGAAGAACCUUACCAGGUCUUGACAUCCUCUCCCAAUCCUAGAGAUAGGAUGUUCCCU
rnacentral:rRNA from 1 species